rnacentral:rRNA from 1 species
AAGACCUUGCGCUUUGGGAGCGGCCGAUGUCUGAUUAGCUAGUUGGUGGGGUAAAGGCCUACCAAGGCGACGAUCAGUAGUUGGUCUGAGAGGACGACCAGCCACACUGGGACUGAGACACGGCCCAGACUCCUACGGGAGGCAGCAGUGGGGAAUUUUGGACAAUGGGCGCAAGCCUGAUCCAGCAAUGCCGCGUGAGUGAAGAAGGCCUUCGGGUUGUAAAGCUCUUUCAGUCGAGAAGAAAAAGCUGCAGUGAAUAACUGUAGUUCAUGACGGUAUCGACAGAAGAAGCACCGGCUAACUACGUGCCAGCAGCCGCGGUAAUACGUAGGGUGCGAGCGUUAAUCGGAAUUACUGGGCGUAAAGCGUGCGCAGGCGGCUCUUCAAGUCAGAUGUGAAAGCCCCGGGCUUAACCUGGGAACU